UCUUAAAAAUAGUGUGUAAAAAUCUUGUCUCAUCUCGUCUCGUGAACUCAAUCUCGAGUCUCGUCUCGUGAGAUACCGGUCUCGUCACACCCCUACUAAUAUCUUCACUGUUAAAUGUCGCUGUAGAUUUUGCAGCACAGUACUGUAAAAACCUACAGUACAGUACCAUAUUUCUAUAUUACAGUACAAUACUGUAAUUUAUAUUGCAUUCUGGGUAAUUUUGAUUGAGCGGGAAUAUUUUACAGUACAUUUUAGUGUUGCUGUAACCCUGCUGUAACCUGGCUGUAAUAUACCAGGCAAUAAUACAGGAUUGCUGUAAAUAACGCGCCACCUGACGUCACAUCACACAGACAGAAGAACACGGCCGCUGGUGACUGGAGAAGCAGAACGGUGUAUUUCUGGAAGUUUGCAGUGUGGUCCACUUGUCUUUGCAUCCUGGGAAGUGCAUUGCUUUCACAAGGAAGCGUAUUUGUAAGUAUUAUCCAUAAUAAUACAACCUUUUACACUUUAAAAAUAAGUUGCAUUUUGUUUUGCUACAGAAUUUUCAUUUGACAUUUCUAUCUUACACUGUCUGUUCAUCUUUAUUGGUGCUGUGGAUAACAGUUUUUGUAAUACGUGUAUUUGUGUUUGUGCCUUGACUUUGUUACAGUUUUGGCAUUGAAAGAAAGAAAUGUACUGCCCGACAGGGAGUGAGCAGAAGACCAGGACGGUGGUGCAGAGUGAUGGCCAUCAACCCACAUGUCAACAGCUUCGUUCGGUCCUUUGUGUUUAAAUGGAAGACUUCACACUGAGGGACUGUGGCCUGUUUGCAGCCAUCCACGUGCCCUUCAGUUAGGGGUGAAUCUUGUGGGACACUUGUUGUUUUUGCUCACUUUUUAAGAUAAAUCAAAUUUCUGAUGCACUGUACCAAGACCGUUGCUGAUGGGGCGAAAGAUGGUGACAAUUCUGAAAUGUUUUGAAAUGUUUAAAUAUAUUGAUUGAAUAAAAAUACAUUUUUUAAAUUUA